rnacentral:rRNA from 1 species
UGCUACAAUGGGUGGUACAAAGAGCAGCCAGCUCGCGAGAGUGGAGCAAAUCUCAAAAAGCCAUCCUCAGGAUUCGGAUUGAAGUCUGCAACUCGACUUCAUGAAGUUGGAAUCGCUAGUAAUCGCGGAUCAGCAUGCCGCGGUGAAUACGUUCCCGGGCCUU